AUUGAACGCUGGCGGCAGGCCUAACACAUGCAAGUCGAGCGGAGCGGCGGACGGGUGAGUAAUGCCUAGGAAGCUGCCUGGUCGUGGGGGAUAACGUCCGGAAAGGGGCGCUAAUACCGCAUACUAUCAGAUGAGUCUAGGUCGGAUGAGCUAGUAGGUGGGGUAAUGGCUCACCUAGGCGACGAUCCCUAGCUGGUCUGAGAGGAUGAACAGCCACACUGGGACUGAGACACGGUCCAGACUCCUACGGGAGGCAGCAGUGGGGAAUAUUGCACAAUGGGCGCAAGCCUGAUACAGCCAUGCCGCGUGUGUGAAGAAGGCCUUCGGGUUGUAAAGCACUUUCAGCGGGGAGGCGUUACCCACAGAAGAAGCACCGGCUAACUCCGUGCCAGCAGCCGCGGUAAUUC
rnacentral:rRNA from 1 species